GGGAAAGGAAGGAGAGAGAGAGAGAAGAGAACAAGGAACAAAGGAGUGAGGGAGAAGAGAGGGGGGAAAUAAUAAGUUUAGAUUUAGUAUAGUGAAGUUCUUAGUGAUAUUGCUGAUAGUAUUGUAUCCUUAAGCCCCGAGUGUGCUGAAGAGUCCAGGGAUAUCUACUAUAUUCCCCUAAAAGGAGAUCCAUGAAGACGUCAUGCUAUUAAAGCGUGGUAGUAUCUGAAGGAAAGAGGAGGGUGAAAUGAACAAGAGGUGUUAUUUUGAAUCAGGACGUUUGUUUACAGAUAGUGAGUUUGGAUAAACGUAUGACGAGUUGUCGAGUGGAGCCGUGGCCUGAUGAGGCAAGGCAGGAAAUCAAGCCCCCAUAUCCUGAUAACCCCAUUAUGGUGAUGUGUGGCCUUG